rnacentral:rRNA from 1 species
GAUGAACGCUGGCGGCGUGCCUAAUACAUGCAAGUCGAGCGAACGGACGAGAAGCUUGCUUCUCUGAUGUUAGCGGCGGACGGGUGAGUAACACGUGGAUAACCUACCUAUAAGACUGGGAUAACUUCGGGAAACCGGAGCUAAUACCGGAGAAUAUUUUGAACCGCAUGGUUCAAAAGUGAAAGACGGUCUUGCUGUCACUUAUAGAUGGAUCCGCGCUGCAUUAGCUAGUUGGUAAGGUAACGGCUUACCAAGGCAACGAUGCAUAGCCGACCUGAGAGGGUGAUAGGCCACCCGGGAACUUAGCCACGGUCCAGACUCCUACGGGAGGCAGCAGUAGGGAAUCUUCCGCAAUGGGCGAAAGCCUUACGGAGCAACGCCGCGUGAGUGAUGAAGGUCUUCCGAUCGUAAAACUCUGUUAUUAGGGAAGAACAUAUGUGUAAGUAACUGUGCACAUCGUGACGGUACCUAAUCAGAAAGCCACGGCUAACUACGUG